UCCUUCUCACUAUACGUUGCAGAGGGAUUGACUGUUGAUGGGAUAUUGGAGAGCUGGGGAAAGAUUAAGCCUGUUAUCAUGGAAGCUUGGGAUGAAGAUGUUUUGAUCGAAUUGUUUGGUAAAGUUAGAGAUGAUUGGAUUAACAAUGACUUGACCACUUGGAUUGGUGCCAACAGAUUCUAUCCAGGAGUUUCAGAUGCACUGAAGUUUGCCAGCUCAAAUGAUUCCAAUUCAAUCCAAAUCUGUAGCUAGUGUUAUACACGAGCUAAACUUUGUUAGUAUGUGUUGGGAAAAUUGCAGGGUCGCUUUGCAGAAGCGUUGCUGCGUGAAAUAGCAGGUGAAAUUCCGACUAGUAUAUAUAAAAACUUAUCGCAUCUUUCUUUAAAGGAUUUUUAGUAAUUUAAACCAUCAACUAAAGCUAAAUCUUGUGAAAUAAACUCUCAUCUUUAUGUCAGUUAAUGUUUUCGCCAUUCCAUAACAUUUGUCGUUAACAGUUAAUGUUUUUCCGUCAACGUCAAAGGUCACGGAGGGACGAAAACAUUAACAGACAUAAAGAUGAGGAUUUAUCUCACAAGAUUUUUAGUUGAUGGUUUGUUUUACGAUUGAUCUUUAGUCGAGGAUUUAAAUUAUUAAAAAUCCUUUAAAGAAAGAUGCGAUAAGUUUUUAUAUAUACUAGUCGGAUCCGGACUGUCACAUAUAUUCGAGGUGAAUGGCUAGAGGAAGUUGCACCACAUUACUAUCAUCUUUCCAACUUCCCAAAGUGAAAAAGAACUAGUUUAGAUUCUGUCAUUACAUUAUAUGUCUCUUUUUCAUUAAAUUAUUAUAUAUAAAAUAUGUCUUCUUCCUUUUUUGUGUGUGUGUAAGAACAAGACUCCAAAAGUGAAAAAUAUGAUUUUUUAAAGAAAAUUAUUGAACAA